GUGAUACAUCGGCUAUCUCGGAUUCCUCCGUAAGAUAGGCCUCGUGGCUAACGGUCGCCAUAUUGCCUUGUAUUACUACUUUACUACCCAAAAGGUUGUCAGUCUAUUGUUAUGAGGCUGUAUACGAUGCGCGUUGAACUAGCGCCAAACUUUUUACCGAAACUUUGAUAUUAAGAGCACUAUUAACGUUCAUUCGUGUUGCAUUUUGACCUAUUAUCCAAGUGAUUUACUUUUCCAUUAUUAUUUAAUCACCCUAUCAUCCAAUUUUUAAGAUGAAAUUACGGUGUUUACAAAACCAACCAAACCGAAAGUGAAACUAGAUGCAUUACGUUUCGCGAUGUAAACAUUAAAUAUUUGUUCAGUUUGAGGAAGCGAAUCGAUAAUAGACGGUGGCAAUAUGUAUGCAAUACAGACUAUCAUUGCCGAUUGUAGUACUGGCUAAAAAAUACCUUUUAUGACAGGUAUACUGGAUUAUGAAAGACUGAUAAACAUAAAAUUGACAACUCAUCUCCCCAACGAUACUUUGUGUGGCUCAUUCUCAGAACAAACCCAUAGUCAGUGAGAAAACUACAGUGUAAAAAGACCACUUGAUUGUGACAAUUAUGGCUGACCAAGCAAAUGUUAUCAUUUAAAAUAAAGAAAACUUCCAGUUCAAUAUACAUUUUAUACCAAUUAUGACAUUGACCAACACAGAAAAUAAUUAUGAGGUUGAUUUUCCCAAAAUUGACUGUUAUAUAUAUAUAUAUAUAUACAUACACAUUAUAUACAUGUGUAUGCUUUGAUUUUUUUCUAUUGAAGCCAAAUUAAUAUCCCAUUAGAUAGAUAGAUAAUAUUACAGCAGUAUUCCUAGUUUGUCUGCAAGUACUGCAGAAAUCAUGGAUUAUUAUUUUACUGAGUCAGCCUUAAUCUUUAUAUUAUAAUUGUUAAAACAGAUUAAGAUAAGCCUAAUACAAUUGAGGAUGCAUCAAGAUUAAAAAAUGGUACACAUAUAAAUUAAUAAAGAAUCAAUAACAAUCAGAAACUGUGCAUUUUUUUCAGUAUUGUAUGAAAGGAUUUGAAGUAAUUAUGUGUUUUUGAAAUAUGAUUUAUGUGAAUUUGAAUAAAUAUAUAAAAUUUA